AGAUUGAACGCUGGCGGCAGGCCUAACACAUGCAAGUCGAGCGGUAGAGAGGUGCUUGCACCUCUUGAGAGCGGCGGACGGGUGAGUAAUGCCUAGGAAUCUGCCUAGUGGUGGGGGAUAACGUUCGGAAACGGACGCUAAUACCGCAUACGUCCUACGGGAGAAAGCGGGGGACUUUCGGGCCUCGCGCCAUUAGAUGAGCCUAGGUCGGAUUAGCUAGUUGGUGAGGUAAUGGCUCACCAAGGCGACGAUCCCGUAACUGGUCUGAGAGGAUGAUCAGUCACACUGGAACUGAGACACGGUCAGACUCCUACGGGAGCAGCGAGUGGGAAUUAG
rnacentral:rRNA from 1 species